rnacentral:rRNA from 1 species
CCCUUAGAUGUUCUGGGCCGCACGCGCGCUACACUGACGGAGGCAGCGAGCGUGUCCUUCGCCGGCAGGUGCGGGCAAUCUUGCGAGUCUCCGUCGUGCUGGGGAUAGAUGGUUGCAAUUGUCGAUCUUGAACGAGGAAUUCCUAGUAAGCGCGAGUCAUCAGCUCGUGCUGAUUACGUCCCUGCCCUUUGUACACACCGCCCGUCGCUACUACAGAGUGCCCGUGUCCAAGAAACGGUCGGACCUGUGCGGCCUCUCCGGGCGACCGGAGGGCCGUUACGGGGAAGACCCUUUAUUUGACGCGGGUCGAUGAAGUAAAAGUCGUAACA